rnacentral:lncRNA from 1 species
CCUUAUAUACAUGAAAAAAACAUAAAUACACUAACUAACCAAAAUUCCCCCUCUCUCUUACUUUCUUUUCCUAUCUCUCUCUACUCUUUCUGCCAAAAUCUAAAUUUUUCAUUUUUUUUUUGUUAUUUGGCAAAUAAGCCCUAAUAAAUAUCAUUUUCUAGCUAUAUUUUUAAGUUUAUGUAUGAUUUGCAUCCACAAAAAUAUAAUUUUACAUCCGCCACUGCAAUGCCAUCAAUACUCAGUUCUUCUUGAUGUAUUCGAGC